UACAGAGGGGGCAAGCGUUGUUCGGAAUUACUGGGCGUAAAGGGCGCGUAGGCGGCCUGUUAAGUCGAACGUGAAAUCCCCGGGCUCAACCCGGGAACUGCGUCCGAUACUGGCAGGCUUGAAUCCGGGAGAGGGAUGCGGAAUUCCAGGUGUAGCGGUGAAAUGCGUAGAGAUCGGAAGAACACCAACGGCGAAAAGCACUCUGCUGGGCCGACACUGACACUGAGAGACGAAGCUAGGGGAGCGAAUGGGA
rnacentral:rRNA from 1 species